GACGAACGCUGGCGGCGUGCCUAAUACAUGCAAGUAGAACGCACAGUUUAUACCGUAGCUUGCUACACCAUAGACUGUGAGUUGCGAACGGGUGAGUAACGCGUAGGUAACCUGCCUGGUAGCGGGGGAUAACUAUUGGAAACGAUAGCUAAUACCGCAUAAUAUUGAUUAUUGCAUGAUAAUUGAUUGAAAGAUGCUAUUGCAUCACUACCAGAUGGACCUGCGUUGUAUUAGCUAGUAGGUGAGGUAACGGCUCACCUAGGCGACGAUACAUAGCCGACCUGAGAGGGUGAUCGGCCACACUGGGACUGAGACACGGCCCAGACUCCUACGGGAGGCAGCAGUAGGGUAUCUUCGGCAAUGGACGAAAGUCUGACCGAGCAACGCCGCGUGAGUGAAGAAGGUUUUCGGAUUGUAAAGCUCUGUUGUAAGAGAAGAACGGGUGUGAGAGUGGAAAGUUCACACUGUGACGGUAGCUUACCAGAAAGGGACGGCUAACUACGUG
rnacentral:rRNA from 1 species